rnacentral:rRNA from 1 species
AUACGGAGGAUGCGAGCGUUAUCAGGAUUUAUUGGGUUUAAAGGGAGCGAGGACGGGUGAUUAAGUCAGCUGUUAAAUAUCGGGGCCCAACCCCGCUAUGCGGUUGAUACUGGUUAUCUUGAGUGCGGUAUGGGCAGGCGGAAUUCACGGUGGAGCGGUGAAAUGCUUAGAUAACGUGAAGAACUCCGAUCGCGAAGGCAGCUUGCCGGACCGUUACUGACGUUUAGGCUCGAAAGUGCGGGUAUCAAACAGGAUUAGAUACCCUGGUAGUCCGCACAGUAAACGAUGGACACUCGCUGUCGGCGACAGACAGUCGGCGGCCUAGCGAAAGCGUUAAGUGUCCCACCUUGGGAGUACGCCGGCAACGGUGAAACUCAAAGGAAUUGACGGGG